AUACGGAGGAUCCGAGCGUUAUCCGGAUUUAUUGGGUUUAAAGGGAGCGCAGGCGGAGAUGCAAGCGUGACGUCAAAUUUCGGGGCUCAACCCCGUCUCGCGUCGCGAACUGCGUCCCUUAGUUGCGGGAAGGGGAGGCGGAACUCGUGGUGUAGCGGUGAAAUGCAUAGAUAUCACGAAGAACUCCGAUCGCGAAGGCAGCCUUCCGGCCCGUCAACGACGCUCAUGCUCGAAGGUGCGGGUAUCAAACAGGAUUAGAUACCCUGGUAGUCCGCACAGUAAACGAUGGACACCCGCGGUUUGGCCUGUAUGGCUGAGCCGCCAAGCGAAAGCGUUAAGUGUCCCACCUGGGGAGUACGCCGGCAACGGUGAAACUCAAAUGAAUUGACGGGG
rnacentral:rRNA from 1 species